rnacentral:rRNA from 1 species
GACGAACGCUGGCGGUGUGCCUAAUACAUGCAAGUAGGACGCAGUUGCGAACGGGUGAGUAACGCUUAGGUAACUGCCUAUUACAGGGGGAUAACUAUUGGAAACGCUAUCUAAUACCGCAUACUAGUAAAUGGACCUGCGUUGUAUUAGCUAGUAGGUAGGGUAAUGGCCUAACAAGGCAACGCUACAUAGCCGACCUGAGAGGGUGAUCGGCCAAACUGGGACUGAGACACGGACCAGACUCCUACGGGAGGCAGCAGUAGGGAAUCUUCGGCAAUGGGGGGAACCCUGACCGAGCAACGCCGCGUGAGUGAAGAAGGUUGUCGGAUCGUAAAGCUCUGUUGUUAAGGAAGCGGUACUUAACCAGAAAGGGACGGCUAACUACGUGCCAGCAGCCGCGGUAAUUC